CCUACUCUCUCUCCUCUGCUCUUCAUCUUCGAUGCAUCCUCUGAAGUUCCACUGUUCUUCUUCCUUCCAACUCAUGUAGUUUAAUGGCUAUGGAGGAAUCACAUCCUCUAAUAUUCAACCCACUUCCUUUUAUAUACAAACAUAUAUACUUUCUCUCUAUUUAUAUCUCUCACACAAAAAUACACUCUCUCUCUCUCUCUAAAAAAACCCAUCAAAGAUAUGUUUUUCGUAUAUCCCUGAUUCUACAUAGAUCCAUUUUUACCAUCUCCUCUUUCUCUAAGAUCUCUCUCAGAGAUCGUCGCCCUUGCCAAACCAUCUAUCUGAUUUCGGUAGCAGAAAGGGCGUACAGAAAGGGUAUAAGUAGAAAGGGCGUACUGAAGCAAAACUAUAGUGAAAUCAUGUUUUACCAGCGCGGCGCCCAGGACUGGACCGGUUCCAAUGAGAAGCGAAUGGAGAAGAUUUUUUUCGUGGCAAAAAUUCUACUGGAUGUACUAAAUGAGAUAUAUUUUGAAACGUCACAUCUAGUAUACUAGUAAUGAUAGUUAAUUCUACCAAAAUGGCCACCCUUAAUUACCAUUGCUUUCUCAAUCUCAAUUCUUAAAGUGUGAUAUAAAUCAACUAUUAAUUACCAUUGCUUUCUCAA